CCACAAUGGGGGAAACCCUGAUGGAGCGACGCCGCGUGCGGGAUGAAGGCCCUAUGGGUUGUAAACCGCUGUUCAGUGGAAAGAACAUCCUCCGGCUGAAUAGGUCGGAGGCCUGACGUUACCACUGCAGAAAGUCCCGGCCAACUCCGUGCCAGCAGCCGCGGUAAUACGGGGGGGACGAGGCGUUAUCCGG
rnacentral:rRNA from 1 species